CUCUGUGAGGCGGAUGGGUUGGUCCAGCUCUGACCCUCCAUCAUCUUACACCUCUCUACCACGCUCAGAACCCACUCCACUUGGCAGAGGUGAAUGUGCCAAUGCCUCUAGAAUGCCAGGCACCCUAAAAUUCCAGGCCUGCCAGACACCCCGAAUUUCAAGGCGCAGCCCUGGUCCCCCAAGGCUUUGACAGCCAGGAAGAGGAGACAGGAGCCUGGAGCUUGGCUCUUUUUCCUUGGCAAAUUCUGGGGCACAGGACAGAAAGCGGAAAUAGGAAGAGACCACACCAUCCAAGCUGAGGCUUUGGGACCAAAAGGGACCCUGGGAAUCUCGAGGUCCAACUGUCUACACUUUAUGGAUGGAGACACUCGGGCCGAGAAGGGAGAAGUGAGGUCGCCCAGUGAUGUAGGAGCAGAGCAAGCACCGGGCACCGGUCCCCGGCUCGCCCAUCCCACCAGGCUGGCCCCUACUGCAGGAUUUUUGCUGUGAAAACCAGUGUUCUGACAUCAGAAGGCACAUCCUCUGCAAAUGUAGAUUUCUGAGCAAACACGCCCGUGAGAAGGUCAGCAGCAAGUUCCCGCAUGGGUGGUGACACACGGACGAGGAUUUGGUUCUUUGAGGGACCCCCAGCCCUGUUGCUGACAUUUUUUCUUUCUCCAAGCUCCUGGUUGGCGAAUCAGAUAAUUCAUCACUUGAUUCUGGUGACCUCUAGUGGACGCACUUUAAAAGCAAUAUUCAGGUCUCAAGUAAAGGGACAGAGCUCAGACAAGUGUCCCGGAAGCAGUUUAUCCAGAGCUGGGCUUCUCAGACUCUCAGGUGCCUGCCAAAGAUCUGGGAAGAUUAGGAACCCGCGGCGUCCGGCCCCGGUAGGCCUGAAGUCUGGCUCAGAGAUGGUUUCAGCUCCGCUCGGCGGGAGGCACCCCUGGGCACGCUGCAGAAGCGCAGUCACCGUUCCUGCAGUCCCAGGGCACCAUAGUCCCCUCGUGAGCCCCAUCACCCCAAGCGAUUUAGUUCCUGGGGUAUGUUCUGCGGACGUGCCUGGCCUGGAGGGCCUCCCAUGACCCCAUCUGGAGGGAGUCAAAUUUCAGGUGCGGGGUGUGGAGGGGAGGGGCGUCUGGGAGGAGGCUCAAAGAAGCGACUGAGCCUCCCUGGCCUCUCUGCACCCCGGCUGCCCCAACUGCAUUAUCUCCCCCCAACACCCCCCUGCCAGCCCUGGGAUUCGACCUAGGACAGUGGCAUAGGGUUCUGCAAGCGCCAGUUCACUGGGUGGAGCUUGAGAAACCCAAACCCCACCCUGAACCCCAAGGUGCAUGGGGAAUGGGCUCGGACAUGGGGACAGGCAACCUACCUCAGCACGUGUGUGGGACCUGUCAGGCGUCCAUAAGGCGUUAUGGUCACCAUACGUCCCAGGACGGAUCCUGGCAGAGCGAUUGUCAGUAACCAUGGGAAUAACUCGUGGAGAGGCCCUGCAGUGGGCAGGCGCCAGGCAGCCCCUUUGCUCUUUGCAGUAACCCCACCAGGUGUGGAUAGCCCCGUUUUACAGAUCAGAAAAGAGAGGCCCAGGGAGGAAGUGCCUUGCUGAGUUCCUCAGUUGCUAAGUGGGGUAACAUUUGGGUUUGGGUGUGUUUGGCAUUCAGACUUGAAGUAUUAGAUCCCGGCUAGUCUGGCUCCUUCGUGGCGAGUGGGGAAACAGAGAUGAAGGGAUGGGCUCUGGGGCCCGCAGGCGUUCAGAGGCAGAGCUGAGGCCAGAAUCAACACUGCCCACCGUCCCCAGGUAAAUCCUUCCACCGGCCACCUGAGGAGGCCCUCCCUCACCUCCUGGACCCCUGGGCCCACUCCUCCUCACCCGGGACCUGCCCUGGCCUGCUUCUAUUGGUUGUUUUGUGAAAACGUCGGGGUCUCAGACUCUGGCACCUGGGGACAACUCAGGAGCGACAACCCAUCUUCCGUGUGUCCUGGGGAAGUCCAUCUGCUCCAGGUGAUGAAAUGAAGGGACUGAGGAGACGAGCCACACAGCCAGCGAGGCAUUCAUGUUACGGCAGCCAUGUCAAACACGGGACGUCCACAAGGUUUGCGGAGCCUGCACCGGGGAGCAGCCUCUGUUUGGAGGCUCUCUGGUCCAGAUGGAAAGAUGGAGAAUGAGAUGGCCAUGGGCUGCAGACAAGGGUGUUUGCACCUGAACGCACAGGCCACAGCAGCCGCCUGCUAUACUCCCUCACCCGCGUGGCCACGCCUCCCUGCCCGUAUGCCUGUGCCCCCUUCUUUGCCUACAGAGUUUGUGACUGUCCCUCUGGGCCCAGCUGAAAUGCCCCUUCCUCUGUCACGUCCUUCUAGAAGCUCACUUCUCCUUGGCCGAAGUGGGACAGCAUCAGCACCAUGUUCAGGUUCUCAGACUCCUCCAGGACGACCCUGUCGGUCUUCAGGCCCACCAGCUCCACCUCCAGCCUCUGCCGCUGGUUCUGAAAGGAACACCAAGGUGUUCACUGCCAGCUGGCCCUUGGUUGAGAGCAAGACAUUCCAAUGGAAUGAAUGAAUGAAUGAAUGAAUAAACAA
rnacentral:lncRNA from 1 species